AGCAAAGUGUGGGUUGAUUUGAAACUUCCUGGUGGAUUAAAAAAGUGUACAGCACCAAGACUCGAACCUGGGAUAUUUUCUGAGGCAAGUGACUAUAGUGGAUAUUCAAGUAUGGCUGGCGAAGAUUUGGGAGAGGAAGGCCAAGAUGAUUUAUCCGAAAAUCAUGGGCUACUGCUGCCAUAGCUGUACAGGCCACAGAACAAGAAAAAAGAGAAUCGCAACUCCCGUGUUAAAAGUGGGAAACACAGACUGACAGCAGCGCCUCAAGUGGUACGGAGAUGAACUAAAAUACUUACGUUGAUUCCCAUGGUGUUAGUUUUGUUAUGAAUCUGAUGGCUUUGUUUUGAAGUUUUAAGAUUCUCUGAAUGUGUACAUCUGCUGCUCCUCCCCAUGCUGUACACAGGUGCUCAUAGAACGAGGUUUUCUGUAGAACUGUACAUACUUUCUGUGAGACAAUGUUUCAAAUGCCUGCGCUGCCAAUACAAAGAGAGGCAAGAUGUGAUGGAGAGCACACAUCAUAGACAUGCUUUUUGGGCAGCGGCAGCUGGAUGUGAACAGCGCGUAGCGUUGCGCAGUUGGAGGUGAGCCACCAGCAGUGGUGGAUGUGGGGAGAGAGAUGGCGGAGUUGUGAAAUUUGUAAGACUGGAUGUCAUGAACUGCUAUGUAUAUUAUGAUUUUUCAACACU